AUGGUACAUCCCGGCCCCAGAGGCCUCGGCCCCGGAAGGAACCUGGGGAUGAAGAAGAGGUAGACCUGAUUCAGAACUCCAGUGACGACGAGGGUGAUGAAGCCGGGGACCUGGCCUCAGUGUCCUCCACCCCACCUAUGAGGCCCCAGAUCACAGACAGGAACUAUUUCCACCUGCCCUACCUAGAGCGCAAGCCCUGCAUCUACAUCAAGAGCUGGUGGCCUGACCAGCGGCGCCGUCUCUACAACGCAAACAUCAUGGACCACAUUGCUGACAAGCUGGAAGAAGGUCUGAAUGAUGUCCAGGAGAUGAUCAAAACGGAGAAGUCCUACCCGGAGCGACGCCUGCGGGGUGU
rnacentral:lncRNA from 1 species